rnacentral:rRNA from 1 species
CCAAGGAGUUUAUCGUGUGCGCAAGUCAUUGGGUGUUGAAAACUCAAAGGCGCAAUGAAAGUAAAGAAUCCGCAAGGAUACGACGUGUGAUCUGAGCAAUCACGAUUGCCUGGAGCAACAUGGCCCCAUUCUGGUCGCUUGCGACGGGGUGGAGGAAGAGCGUACGCGGUGAGACCCGAAAGAUGGUGAACUAUUCCUGAGCAGGAUGAAGCCAGAGGAAACUCUGGUGGAAGUCCGAAGCGAUUCUGACGUGCAAAUCGAUCGUCUGACUUGGGUAUAGGGGCGAAAGACUAAUCGAACCAUCUAGUA